AUUGAACGCUGGCGGCAGGCCUAACACAUGCAAGUCGAGCGAGCGGCGGACGGGUGAGUAAUGUCUGGGAAACUGCCUGAUGGAGGGGGAUAACUACUGGAAACGGUAGCUAAUACCGCAUACCCUCAGAUGUGCCCAGAUGGGAUUAGCUGGUAGGUGGGGUACCGGCUCACCGAGGCGACGAUCCCUAGCUGGUCUGAGAGGAUGACCAGCCACACGGGAAGUGAGACACGGUCCAGACUCCGACGGGAGGCAGCAGUGGGGAAUAUUGCACAAGGGGGGCAAGCCUGAUGCAGCCAUGCGGGGUGGGGGAAGAAGGCCUUCGGGUUGUAAAGCACUUUCAGCGGGGAGGCGUUACCCGCAGAAGAAGCACCGGCUAACUCCGUGCCAGCAGCCGCGGUAAUUC
rnacentral:rRNA from 1 species